rnacentral:misc_RNA from 1 species
ACGAAUUCAUUAGGAGUUGUGCUGGUUCUUACAAGUGCACGCUCCUUACAAUUCCAUUCACACCCAAUGUGCACUCUAAGAGACGUAUUUCCCCCGUUUACGCGCCUUUGCCGGCUCGGGAUUUCGUCUGUUUAACACACUCUUUAUUGUAAUAGAAUGUCAUUUGGCUUAAAUGCCUAAAACUUUAAAUA